GUGCUCACUUUGGCAGCAUACAUACCAAAAUGGGGAUGAUACAGAGAAGACUGGCAGGUUCCCUGCGCAAGGAAAACAAACAAAUAACUUUUUUUGUUUUC
ensembl:snRNA U6 U6 spliceosomal RNA